UGCAAGUGAUGUUUUUUCUCACGAUGGUCUUCCAAGCCUGCAGGGUUCUGACGACAAUGCCUUCUGGCAAAAACUGAUGCAGUCAA
rnacentral:snoRNA from 1 species